UUUAGUUUAAGUCUUCUUACGACGGGUAUAUUUUCAAUAGAUCUGGUCAUUUUCAACCUUGUUAUGAUUUAGAAACUAAUCAGAUCUGAUUUUAGAUCUAAAAAACACUCGUCUUUUAUAGAUCUAGGUGUGGUAAUCCUUUCUAACUCUCCGUUAUGUUGGUGCGGAUCUUCUUCUUCUAUCGCAUUGGUCAACGUGAAUCCUUUCUGAAGAUCCGUUUCCAAUUAAAGCACUUGAUUUGUAUUUGUUAAAAUUUUUAUCGUUGGUCAUAGAAUUUAUUUGUAAUUCCAAGUCAAAAUAAAAUUUUAAAACCUGUCAGAUAAACACAAUUCUGAUUUCAGUUUUCAAUUUUGCAAAAUUUUUCAAGAAGUGAAGUAAACAUGUUUUUGUUUACAGUUAAUGUUUUUUGUUGUUUCUGUUUUUUCCUCUUUCAAUUUUGACGUCCACGCUGCUCUUUCUUGUCCUUCUUCUUUACUUGCUUUUCAUUUGUCUUUAUCUUGUUCAGUAAGUCCUUUGCACGCCUUUUAUUCUCUUGCUGCAUCCCUUGCUGCAUCAUCAUCCACUGACAAUAUAGCAAGUCCUGCUGCUGCUGCUGGCCUAUAGCCGGCUGCUGC
rnacentral:lncRNA from 1 species